GCCCAAGUAGCACAAUGGUAGUGCGUUGCUUUCCUAUAGUUCAUGGACAAUGACGUACGUAAGGCAAAGGUUGUGGGUUCGAUCCCCAUCUUGGGUU